UUCUAUGGCCAUGCCACCCUGAACAAAGCCCAAUCCCGUCUGAUCUCGGAAGCUAAGCAGGGUUGGGCCUGGUUAGUACUUGGAUGGGAGACCACCUAGGAAGACCAGACGUUUAAAAAA
rnacentral:rRNA from 1 species